AUUGAACGCUGGCGGCAGGCCUAACACAUGCAAGUCGAGCGGAUGAAGGGAGCUUGCUCCUGGAUUCAGCGGCGGACGGGUGAGUAAUGCCUAGGAAUCUGCCUGGUAGUGGGGGAUAACGUCCGGAAACGGGCGCUAAUACCGCAUACGUCCUGAGGGAGAAAGUGGGGGAUCUUCGGACCUCACGCUAUCAGAUGAGCCUAGGUCGGAUUAGCUAGUUGGUGGGGUAAAGGCCUACCAAGGCGACGAUCCGUAACUGGUCUGAGAGGAUGAUCAGUCACACUGGAACUGGGACACGGUCCAGACUCCUACGGGAGGCAGCAGUGGGGAAUAUUGGACAAUGGGCGAAAGCCUGAUCCAGCCAUGCCGCGUGUGUGAAGAAGGUCUUCGGAUUGCAAAGCACUUUAAGUUGGGAGGAAGGGCAGUAAGUUAAUACCUUGCUGUUUUGACGUUACCAACAGAAUAAGCACCGGCUAACUUCGUG
rnacentral:rRNA from 1 species